rnacentral:rRNA from 1 species
ACUCAAAUGAAUUGACGGGGGCUCACACAAGCGGUGGAGCAUGUGGUUCAAUUCGAAGCAACGCGCAGAACCUUACCUGGGUUUGACAUGCUUGGAUUAUCUCCAUGAAAGUGGAGUAGGCCCUUCGGGGUACAACAAGUACAGGUGCUGCAUGGCUGUCGUCAGCUCGUGUCGUGAGAUGUCGGGUUAAGUCCCAUAACGAGCGAAACCUUUGCCCUUAGUUACCAGCGGGUUAUGCCGGGGACUCUAAGGGGACUGCCGGUGUCAAACCGGAGGAAGGUGGAGAUGACGUCAAGUCCUCAUGGCCUUUAUGCCCAGGGCUACACACGUGCUACAAUGGGGUGGACAAAGCGAACCUAGAGCGCAAGUUCAUGGAAAACGCAAAAACCACCCCCCAGUUCAGAUCGGAGGCUGCAACUCGCCUCCGUGAAGUUGGAAUCGCUAGUAAUCGCGGAUCAGCUACGCCGCGGUGAAUAUGUUCCUGAGCCUUGCACACACCGCCCGU